AGAGUUUGAUCCUGGCUCAGGAUGAACGCUAGCGGCAGGCUUAACACAUGCAAGUCGAACGGUAACAUUCCCGCUUGCGGGAGAUGACGAGUGGCGCACGGGUGCGUAACGCGUAUGCAACCUACCUUCAACAAAGGGAUAGCCCAGAGAAAUUUGGAUUAAUACCUUAUAAUAUUUUCGAAACGAUUGUUUUGAAUCUUAAAGAUUUAUCGGUUGAAGAUGGGCAUGCGUGACAUUAGCUAGAUGGUAAGGUAACGGCUUACCAUGGCGACGAUGUCUAGGGGUUCUGAGAGGAAGAUCCCCCACACUGGUACUGAGACACGGACCAGACUCCUACGGGAGGCAGCAGUGAGGAAUAUUGGACAAUGGGCGGAAGCCUGAUCCAGCCAUGCCGCGUGAAGGAUGACUGCCCUAUGGGUUGUAAACUUCUUUUAUAGAGGAAGAAACCUCUUCUCGUGAGAAGAGCUGACGGUACUCUACGAAUAAGGACCGGCUAACUCCGUGCCAGCAGCCGCGGUAAUACGGAGGGUCCAAGCGUUAUCCGGAUUUAUUGGGUUUAAAGGGUCCGUAGGCGGGUUUUUAAGUCAGUGGUGAAAUCCUACAGCUCAACUGUAGAACUGCCAUUGAAACUGGGAAUCUUGAAUGUGAUUGAAGUGGGCGGAAUAGGUCAUGUAGCGGUGAAAUGCUUAGAUAUGACCUAGAACACCGAUAGCGAAGGCAGCUCACUAAGUCAUUAUUGACGCUAAUGGACGAAAGCGUGGGGAGCGAACAGGAUUAGAUACCCUGGUAGUCCACGCCGUAAAC
rnacentral:rRNA from 1 species